UAAUACGAACUGUGCAAACGUUAUUCGCAAUCACUGGGCUUAAAGGGUGCGUAGGCGGGUUGGUAGGUCAGAUGUGAAAUCCCACGGCUCAACCGUGGAAUUGCGUUUGAAACCACUAGUCUUGAGGGGAUCAGAGGAGAGCGGAACUGAUGGUGGAGCGGUGAAAUGCGUUGAUAUUAUCAGGAACACCGGUGGCGAAAGCGGCUCUCUGGGAUCCUUCUGACGCUGAGGCACGAAAGCUAGGGGAGCGAACGGGAUUAGAUACCCCGGUAGUCCUAGCUGUAAACGAUCUGUACUAGUCCGUGGGGACCCCCACAUCUUCUCGGACGUAGCGAAGGUGUUAAGUACAGCGCCUGGGGAGUAUGGUCGCAAGGCUG
rnacentral:rRNA from 1 species